AAUCAGAAGUCCGUGCACCCGUAUGCUGCUCAUGUGUUCCUGAGAAGGGACAUAAUCAUUCUUUUCCUCGGUAGGCACUUCUCAGGAAAGGCAUAUCUCAUUUUAAGUGACCAUGAGGUAAGCUUUGGAUACCCUGGAUUCCCAGCUGAUUUUCCAAGAUACACUCUCUGCUCUUCACCCUGGAAGGCCCAUCUACCUGGACUACAUUCAUGAGAUCCCUUGCCUUUGGGCUUCCAGUUGGGUUUGCCCAAUCAGAAGCAAUGGCAGGACAUCUAAGGGAAGGAAGGAGA